GGGCCCGCACAAGCGGUGGAGUAUGUGGUUUAAUUCGAUGCAACGCGAAGAACCUUACCAGGGUUUGACAUCCUGCGAAUCUCUUGGAAACGAGAGAGUGCCUUCGGGAACGCAGUGACAGGUGGUGCAUGGCUGUCGUCAGCUCGUGUCGUGAGAUGUUGGGUUAAGUCCCGCAACGAGCGCAACCCACGUCGUUAGUUGCCAGCAUUUAGUUGGGCACUCUAGCGAGACCGCCGGUGAUAAACCGGAGGAAGGUGUGGAUGACGUCAAGUCAUCAUGCCCCUUACAUCCUGGGCUACACACGUACUACAAUGGCCGGUACAGAGGGCAGCCACACCGCAAGGUGGAGCG
rnacentral:rRNA from 1 species